CAGUAGCCGCGGUAAUACCAGCAGCCCAAGUGGUGGUCGCGAUUAUUGGGCCUAAAGCGCUCGUAGCCGGGCCGGUAAGUCCCUUGUGAAAUCGGACGGCCUAACCGUUCGGCGUGCAAGGGAUACUGUCGGUCUUGAGGCCGGGAGACGUCCGAGGUACUCCGGGGGUAGCGGUGAAAUGUUCUGAUCCUCGGGGGACCACCGGUGGCGAAGGCGUUCGACGAGAACGGGCCUGACGGUGAGGGGCGAAGGCUAGGGGAGCAAACGGGAUUAGAUACCCCGGUAGUCCCUGUCUCUUAUA
rnacentral:rRNA from 1 species